UGCAGUGUAGCUCAAUAGCGGAGCAGCAAGCUCAUAACUUGACGGGUGUGGGUGCAAUUCCCACCACUGCGACCA
rnacentral:tRNA from 1 species